UCUCGCUCUCUCUCUCUCUUCAAAGCCUUUCUCUCACUAAAAAAAAUAUUUUUUCAACGGCCGACACGUGCAGACGUCCCAGAAACUCUUCCUCCUGUUUUAUCUCUUCCCCAAUUAUCAGCGCGCGCGCAAACACACACAAUACAAAGAGAGAGAGGGAGAGAGAGCAAAAUCUCCGAUCUGAAGGACCUGUUUCUACGGUUUCUUCUUCGAAAAAUGGCCGCUCCACCUGUUAGAGCUCGAGCCGAUUACGAUUACCUUAUAAAACUCCUCUUGAUCGGCGACAGCGUUUUUCAAAGUCAAUGUUACGCAUCAAAGUCAAUACAAUUUGAGGUUGCCGUAUACGGAUUGUGUUUGGUGCGCCAUCAGACAUUGUUUUGUGCACAGUGGGAAAGAAAAGAUGCCUCUUUUAUGUAGUCACUAACUGGAUUUGAUGGUAGAUGUUGAACAAAGAGUAAACCACUUUAGGAUUAAAAAUGGAUUUGAAUGAGUAGAUGGUAUGUGGAAAUGAAGUUUUGAACUAGGAUGGAAGCUAGUUCCGGCAUUUUUCUAGAGUAGAGACCUUUUUUUUUUCCGUCCAUUAACGGGUUUUCAUUAUCAAUCUUGAGUUAUUUUUGUAAAACAGAAUGUAAUACUGAAAGGGAUUUUUAAAAAUGUUGAUGAAUAGAAUGAUUGUAACUGUCCCAACUAAAUAAACUGCCAACAUCACUGCCUGAUAUCUCUUAACAUCUGGGUUUGGAU